rnacentral:rRNA from 1 species
GGGGAAUUUUCCGCAAUGGGCGAAAGCCUGGCGGAGCAAGACCGCGUGGGGGAUGAAGGUUUGUGGAUUGUAAACCCCUUUUGAUUGGGAAGAAUACUGACGGUACCAAUCGAAUAAGCCUCGGCUAACUCCGUGCCAGCAGCCGCGGUAAUACGGAGGAGGCAAGCGUUAUCCGGAAUUAUUGGGCGUAAAGCGUCCAUAGGUGGUUUAGUAAGUCUGCUGUUAAAGCGCGGGGCUUAACUCCGUAUCGGCAGUGGAAACUACUAGACUAGAGUGUGGUAGGGGUAGAGGGAAUUCCCAGUGUAGCGGUGAAAUGCGUAGAUAUUGGGAAGAACACCGGUGGCGAAAGCGCUCUACUGGGCCAUAACUGACACUGAUGGACGAAAGCUAGGGGAGCGAAUGGGAUUAGAUACCCCAGNUAGUC